rnacentral:lncRNA from 1 species
UGACUCGAUUCAAUCUAAGAUGGGUAUAAGUACAGAAAUUUUAAUUAUCGGGUGAGUACGAAUAUGAGCCGACCCCAUCCAUAUUCAACCUAUUCCCAUUCCUAAGACUAUAGCCCUUUGGCAUCGCCUGCUCAAUGCCCAUUUAUGCUCAAGUGGUAUUCUGUUGUUUGCCACGUAGGUUAGCAAUGUUCGAAGAGAUCCAUCUUAGGAAUUUGGUGACCCGCCAUCUCCCUAUCUCUCUCUCUCUCUCUCUAUCUAUUCCUCUACUUCAUGUCACGAAAGCCUUGUGUACCUUUUGUUGUUAGCAUAUACCAUAUAUGAUAUACCGGAUAUGGCUUUUUUUGGGAUUAUUCUUAAAUAUAAUAUAAUAAUAUAACAAAUUUUAAUAAAUUAAAAGCUUCGAUUGUCAAUUUUUUUUGCACAUUAAGUAUGAAUAUUAAUAAUGGCCAAUUGAAAUUCCCAUC